rnacentral:rRNA from 1 species
UACGUAGGGUGCGAGCGUUGUCCGGAAUUAUUGGGCGUAAAGGGCUCGUAGGCGGUUUGUCGCGUCGGGAGUGAAAACCCAGGGCUUAACCCUGGGCUGGCUUCCGAUACGGGCAGACUAGAGGUAUGCAGGGGAGAACGGAAUUCCUGGUGUAGCGGUGAAAUGCGCAGAUAUCAGGAGGAACACCGGUGGCGAAGGCGGUUCUCUGGGCCGAUACUGACGCUGAGGAGCGAAGGCGUGGGGAGCGAACAGG